GGCUCCGCUCCCGAGAAAGCAACAGGUCCCCGCAGGGGCGCGGGGCGCAUACUCACACACAGGCCUCCGAGCCGUUGAGGAACACGCGGCACUUCCCGCCAUUCAAGCAGCUCUCGCUGGGCUGGGAACAUCGCAGGCCUGCGGAGGGGCACGAGCAGAGAAGGAAGAUAUAGGCUUCUCACAGCGAAAUCGUUCUGCCGCAGCAGGAAUUGCUGAAGAGGAGCCAGGAGUUGCACCCCCCGCAGCUCUGCAACCCCACCCCCACCCAGCCGGCGGCCCCAUCCCCCAGAACAGCGAGGCCUGGAGUUAAUUCAAAGGAAGAAACGUGAAGCAAAGCAGAUGCUGCC